CAACCCGCGCGAGGAGCUGUCCGCGGUGUACGACAUCUACAAGGGGGUGGCGGCGGAGCGUGGCAUCCCCAUGGUCAUCUUCAACGGGGAGCUGGACCGCAUCAGGGGGG
rnacentral:SRP_RNA from 1 species